rnacentral:rRNA from 1 species
AAUAGAUACCCGGGUAGUCCACGCUGUAAACGUUGGGCGCUAGGUGUGGGGGGCCUCUCCGGUUCCCUGUGCCGCAGCUAACGCAUUAAGCGCCCCGCCUGGGGGAGUACGGCCGCAAGGCUAAAACUCAAAGGAAUUGACGGGGGGCCCGCACAAGCGGCGGAGCAUGCGGAUUAAUUCGAUGCAACGCGAAGAACCUUACCUGGGUUUGACAUGGCCGCAAAACUGUCAGAGAUGGCAGGUCCUUCGGGGGCGGUCGACAGGUGGUGCAUGGCUGUCGUCAGCUCGUGUCGUGAGAUGUUGGGUUAAGUCCCGCAACGAGCGCAACCCUCGUUCGAUGUUGCCAGCGCGUUAUGGCGGGGACUCAUCGAAGACUGCCGGGGUCAACUCGGAGGAAGGUGGGGAUGACGUCAAGUCAUCAUGCCCCUUAUGUCCAGGGCUUCACGCAUGCUACAAUGGCCGGUACAAUGGGCUGCGAUACCGUGAGGUGGAGCGAAUCCCAAAAAGCCGGUCUCAGUUCGGAUCGGGGUCUGCAACUCCG